AAACAAAUGAAGGGUCACUUUCAUGGGUAUGAAUUUCAAACUUGAAACUUGCUGUCCAAGCAUGUGAUCCAUUAUAUUGACUUUGGCCUGGCAACGAACUUUGCGUCUUGAGCUCAUCAAAGCAAUGGCAGAAGUGAAGCUACACGGAUUCUGGGCCAGUCCUUUUAGUCAUAGAGUGAUUUGGGCAUUGAAAAUCAAAGGUGUAGAAUAUGAAUACAUAGAGGAAGACCUUUCUAACAAGAGUGAACUGCUGUUGAAGUACAAUCCUGUUUACAAGAAGAUCCCUGUCCUUGUCCAUGGCGGCAAGCCGAUUGCUGAGUCCCUCGUCAUCCUUGAAUACAUCGAAGAAACCUGGCCGGAGAAUCCAUUGCUCCCAAGUGAUCCUUAUGAGAGAGCCAUGGCUCGAUUUUGGAUUCAAUUCGGAGUAGACAAGGUGAUUUUCAUUCUUUCACUAUCUCCAUUGAGGCGUUGACCUAUCAUUCUUUUCUUUAAUGUUCUUGUUAACAAUUAUCAAACUUUACAAUGAUCGUAGGGUCCGGUUUUCCGUGCAUUUUUUCUAUCAACCGGUGGAGAGGAGCAAGAGAAAGCAGCAAAGGAAUUCUCGGAAAUGCUGAAAAUUAUAGAAGAGAAAGCUCUUGGGGACAAGAAGUUUUUUGGUGGUGAUACCAUUAAUUUAGUGGACAUCUCCUAUGCAACGCUGGCCUAUUGGUUCAAGAAUGUGGAAGAAGUAAUUGGCGUUAAGGUUCUGGAACCAAACACCUUACCCCGUCUGUAUCAAUGGGCUCAAAAUUUCAAGGAAGUUCCUGUCAUCAAAGAAAACAUUCCUGAUAAUGAUAAAAUGUUGGCCUAUACAAGACUAAUCAGGGAGAAGAUUCUUGCUGCACAGCUCAACAAAUAGCAUAAAAAAGCGUCUUACUGGCUACCCUUUCUGGAAAAUUGAUUUUACUAUGCUUGGCAGCUUGUAAUGGUUAUCAUAAGCUUAUAUAUGUGUGUGUAAUCUGCUUUGUUAUGUUCUAUUGUAUUAAUUAAGAAUCAAAUAAUAGAAUUCUAGCGUAAAAAAGCAGAACAACUUUUGGUUUUGUGCUUCUAAGGGUCGGAUCUUUGUGUUUUGAUGUCUGACCUUUGUUCAGGUUUUCUUUGGCAGAAAGGGCCUGAUCUGAGAUUUUUCUGUGCUCUGUGUCAUUUGCUUUUGAGUUAGGACAGUGCUUAUUGGUUUUUUUUUUUUUAAAGGCGGUUUUAUUCUUGCAUCACUGUUUAUGCCACAACAAGUCUAAAGCAUGGUUGCGGAAGACUUUAGUGGCAUAGAGCGUCUGAUGUGGGUAAAAGUGCUGUACAAUUUCAAAAGACGCCUAUGUUCCAUAGCGCCACUGCUAAACAUAAUCCUAACCAGCAGCAGGAACGCAUACACAGGCCAUCACUAACCUCAAAUCAUUCAAAAACCACAGAACACAGAUCGGGCGAAGCAAACUUCUAGCGCGAAGAAGGUGUCCGCAAUGGGCAUCGUGGACGCAGCAAACCAGGAGCCUUCAAAGAGCCUCAACAUCAGCAUCGUCAGGAAUUCAGCACGGCAUCAGCAGCAUUUGAAGUGAUUGACAAAAAUGUGGAUCCUUAGCAUAGGCCUCCUGUCAAUCCACAACCUCAAAACAUCCCACAAACCACCCCCUGGGAGAAACACCUGAACCCACCUUCACACUCACCGUCCCCUUCCAAUUCACUCAACCUGCUUGACACAAUACACAACACCAAUCGCUCAAAAGUUCAUGACAGUGCUUUAUUGGUUUGUUUUUUGAAAGGUGAAAUUUUAUUGAGCCAGCCUCCAACCUGCCACUUCAAGUCUUUAGUCUUAAUUGCUUAAAGACUCUUGAUGGCAUAAUAGUUGCCCUGGCUGGAUAAAACCUGUACACUUGUACCAAAAAGAAUCUGCCCAAAUAGAAACUGGCAGCACAGCACCAUGAACAAGAAGAGGUGCAAGAAAGGAAAAUCGUUCUAAUUCUACCUGAUUGGAAACAGCAAUACCCCCAACCCAACGAACAAGAAAAAAACUCCCACAGCGAGGAUCCCCUCAUGUGAAGUCAACCCUGCUCGCCCCACCAGAAGUUACACAGUAAAAGAAUCCUUUAGGAAACAUGGGAGAAGACCAUUCAAAAAUCUGAGUAAGGGACAAGACCUGGCAAUUCGCAGAACAGAACAGAACAAAAACCCUAGGGGAUCUCAUCAUCAACAAAAACCCUUCCUGGCGGCAAUAACCACAGUAUCUUAGACGAGCCAGCCCAGACAGCUUCGGAUUCAUCACAGGCUCAGCGCAAGAGCUUCCGGAACACAUCCCCACUCCCCGCCAUACCAACACAUCCUUUCACAUAAGAAACACGAGCAUCCAGCCGAACAGAGAAGUCAGAAGCAGCACCAAAAAGGAUCCCAAAACACCUGAACCCCCUAUCCCUGAGAUUCCUUCAAAUAACAUAGGAGGAGCCCAAACAGGGAGCCAUGAACUCACAGAAAAAGCCACCAUAUCAAGCAAAGCCAAAAAACAAGAAACAUGACAAAAACAUUACACUCCCAGCAAAGAACUGGUUGGCAAAAACAGAAAGGAACAAAGAAUGACACACUCACAGGAAAGAAAUCAUUCAUUAGAAAGGACAUUUUUUUCUUUUCUCUUUAUUAUUGAUCACUUGUUAAGCUGCCUUGACUUUUUGAGCUGCUAAUCUAUCGCCAGUGCCACUGGUUUCCUUGUCCGAGCCGUUCUUUGCCAUGCCAUAGGGAGUUUUUAGUAGUUACAGCCUUAAAUUAACAAUAGCAUUGAUCGGCCGCUGAAACGAAUAAAUUAACCUUUCAAAGAAUAAAACUUUUGGUUUUGUGGAAGAAUUACUUGUAAAAGUUCAUGAUGAUCACCUCAUGAUUUAUUUUGGUUAUCCUAAGGUCAAGGCUUCAUGAAUUUUUAUAUCUUUGGAUUUGCUUUUUAAAAUUACUUGAUUUUGACUAUCAAGAUUUUAUAUUUCUCAUAUUGUAAAAAGUUAUUUCACAAAAAACACAUUACCAUUUGGAGAGAGCAAUGGUAGCAAAUAAAAUGAAUAAUGCAAUGGUAUCACGCAAACAAUAAUGAAAUGAAAGUAACUCAAAAUAAGUGAUAUUAUUCAUAAGUUACUUUUGUUAUUGGGAUGUUUUGCAAACUUAUUAGUGUAGAUUUGGAAAUAGUUAAAGAGAAUUUCCUCUCAACAUUUUUUUUUAAGUAUAAGUGCUUUACAAAAACAAAUGUAAUUGCACCAUUAAUUUUUUUUUUAAAAGUUGUAAUUACACCAUUAAUAAUCAUUUGUUACAAACGGUUACUAUUCUCAAUGGUUACCUAAUGAGAUUUUCGUAAUUAUUACCUAUUAUGUACAUAAAAAAUGGAAAUAGUUGAGAGGUAAUUGGAACGAAGUUUAUUAAAGCAAAUACCUUUAAUGAGGAAUUUCACUAAAAAAUCCGCAAUGAAAAACAAUGUCCCAUAUCACAACAGAGUACUCUGUAAAUUUCUUGAAGAAGAGAAGGGUCAUAUAUAAAUAUCACCUCAUCAGAAUCACUUGAAAGUAAAUUAGCUAGUAAUGCAAGUUUGUAUUACACAUUUACGUCGUGAGAAAGAACUACUUCUUCUCUCUUUAAUUUUCAUGUUGGUUUAUGCCUUUAAAUUAUUUAUCUGUUAUAGCUAUGGUUACAACAAUGCUAUGGUGGCUUGUUGUUUUAAAUUAUUCUGAAAUCAUUUUGAAAUUUUCAGCCUUCUGAAACAUUUCAAUUACAAAUGGGGCAUUCUUUAUGAUUGCAUCUUCUAUCUCACUUCCUACUUUGUAGACUAAAACUAGGGAGUGCCGGAAACGCUCCCCAUUUUUCCAAUUUCAGUUUGAGCAACGUUAUCCAAGAAAAGGGUUCUUCAAUCUUUGAAACUUGUUAUUUUAUUCAGUUUGAAAGGGGCAAACUGAUUCAUUUUUAUUUUUUAUUAAAAACAUGAUCACUUGUCAUGCGUGACGCAGGCCUAUUGUAUAUUGCAUGGAGCAAUCAUAUCCGUAACAUGGUAGUCAUUGGAUUAAGUAAUUUAUCUGAUCCAACCAUGUGACAGAUUGUAUGACUUUUACAAUAUGAAAUGCAAAAUUACCAGCUGAAAGAGUCUGAACUGAUGUCAGAAACAUUUAGAAAAGAGUAAGAGUUGCUUCCAUUGACAUUGAACUUCUUGCCCAAGCUAGAACAGCCCUUUGAUCUGUAUGAAUUGACAAUUAGAAAGUAAAAAUGAAAAUUAAAAAAAAUGGAAGUAAUUUUUAAAAUUAGAUUAAUGAUUUUUAUAUCACAGUAGAGAAUUAGUUUUAAAACAGCAAAAAUCAUAAAGAGACAAACAGGAACAUGAUGAACCUUCUUACCAGCAUGACACGGUGGCAUGCACAAUCAAAAGCGGGUUUGAUUGCCGAAUAUCAUUUGUUUAUGUCGAUAAUUAAAUAUUGAGAUUAAGGGGCAGUUCGUAUAAAAAUAAUUAAAUAAGGCAAUAGUCCAUUUGAACUUUAAAGGUAUAUUAUAAAAAGAAUAUUCUUUAUCUUCAAAGUCAAAUUAGUACUGCAUUAUCUAGUUCAUGUUUUCCUUACACUGUAAAUUAAUCAGAACCACCAACUCUUCAAAUUACGGCCUACAAUAUCACAUCAAAUUUCAACCUGACCUUGAUUUCGUCAAAUUCCUAGAUAUUUCCUCAUAGAAAACAUGUGGCCUCGGAGGUCUUCUAUUGGUAUGCAAAUGAAGGGUCACUUUCAUGGUUAUUAAUUUCUAAAUUGAAACUUAUUGUCCAAGCAUUUGAUCCAUUAUAUUGACUUUGGCCUGGCCACGACCUUUGCAUCUUGAGCUCAUCAAAGAAAUGGCAGAAGUGAAGCUACACGGAUUCUGGGCUAGUCCUUUUAGUCAUAGAGUGAUUUCGGCAUUGAAAAUCAAAGGUGUAGACUAUGAAUACAUAGAGGAAGACCUUUCUAACAAGAGCGAACUGCUGUUGAAGUACAAUCCUGUUUACAAGAAGAUCCCUGUCCUUGUCCAUGGCGGCAAGCCGAUUGCUGAGUCCCUCGUCAUCCUUGAAUACGUCGAAGAAACCUGGCCGGAGAAUCCAUUGCUCCCAAGUGAUCCUUAUGAGAGAGCCAUGGCUCGAUUUUGGAUUCAAUUCGUAGAAGACAAGGUGAUUUUGACUCUUUCAUUAUCUCCAUUGAGGCAUUGACCUAUCAUUCUUUUCUUUUAUGUUAUUGUUAACAAUUAUCAAACUUUACAAUGAUCCUAGAGUCCGGUUUUCCGUCCAUUUUUUCUAUCAACCGGUGGAGAGGAGCAAGAGAAAGCAGCAAAGGAAUUGUUGGAAAUGCUGAAAAUUAUACAAGAGAAAGCUCUUGGGGAGAAGAAGUUUUUCGGUGGUGAUACCAUUAAUUUAGUGGACAUCUCCUACGGAGUGCUGGCCUAUUGGCUCAAGAUCAUGCAAGAAAUAAUUGGCGUUAAGGUGCUGGAACCAAACACCUUGCCUCGACUGCAUGAAUGGGCUUAAAAUUUCAUGGAAGUUGCUGUCAUCAAAGAAACAAUCCCUGAUCGUGAUAAAGUGUUGGCUCAUAUGAGAGGCGUGAGGGAGAAGAUUGUUGCUGAACAGUUUAACAAAUAGCAUAAAAAGGCUUCACACUAGCUAGCCUUCUGGAAAAUUGAUUGUCCUAAACUUGGCAGCUUGGGAUGCUUAUAUAAAGCUAUAUAUAUAUAUAUAUAUGUAAUCUGCUUAGUUAUGCUAUGUUGUAUUAAUUAAGCAUCAAAUAAUUGAAUUCUAUUGUAUAAAAGCAGAACUUUUUUUGGUUUUAUGGGAGGAUUAAUUUUACAAGCCCAUGAUGAUCAGGAAAGAAAUGGGUAUUUUUGGAAUUUAAGAAAGGGAGGCCAUGAAAGCUGGGAAUUUUAAGCUGGUUCUGUUUCGUUAGAACAAAGAGAGACAGAGCGAGAGAGAAAUUUUGAGAAAAAUAAGGAGGACCAAAUUAAAGAAUUUUUUUUUUCUUCUAAAUAAUUAUGGCGGUUUUACUUGCUAUUAUGCCACGUUAGGGCACCGGUUAAGAAAAUGACAAAUGUCAUAAUGAUUAAUACUAGUUAAUUUUUUAAUUUUUUUAUUAAGUGUUUUGUAACUUAUUUGAUUUUAAAUAAUAAUAUAAAAAUUUAUUAAAAAUAAAUAAAAAUAUAAGACUUGUUUGUAUUUUUUUUUCAGUGGAGAAGUUAUAAUAUUAAAUUGGAAUCAUCAUAAGAAAACAUAUUCCCAUCAUAUCAUAUAAUAAUAAAUUUUUAACUCCCACUAGAGGAGUAUUAUGAGCAACAUAAGAAACAUCAAAUAAUUAAAUAAAAAAUUAAAAACAGAUUUGAUUUUUGACAUAAUAAUCAAAUAAGCUCAUAAAUUAUUUUAAAAAAUUAAAUAAGCCUUUAUUCUUUUAUUGUAUUCAAUCAAAACUUUGUAUUUUUAUUUUUUAUCAAAUAAGUUUUUAUAACAAAUGAUUAACUAAUUAUCAUUAGUUAAAAUACUUAUUAUCAUUCUAUAACCACAUACCAUUAACAUGGCAUUGAUGCAAAUAGUAAAAAAUAUCAUAUGAACAUGUUAUUAUAUCAAAUUAGUAUGUCACGCCAUCAUCAAUUUUAAUAUAUCAGUAUGUCACACCAUUAUCAAUUAUGAUAUGUUAACAUGAUACAUCAGCACCACGCGAUAUAAAAUAAUAAGUGACAUUUUGACUAAGUUAAUUAUUAGUCAUAAAAGUUUAUUUGACUCAAAAUAAAAAUAUAAUGACUUAUUAGGCUUCAAAUAAAAGUAUAAAAACUUAAUUGAAUGUAAUAAAAAUAUAAAAACUUAUUUGAAUUUUACUAAAUAGUUUAAGGACUUUUUUAAAUAUCAUACCUUAGAUUAUUUUUUUUAUAAUUUAAAAACUUUUUCAAAUAUUAUGAUCUUUGUCUUAAAAGUGAAAUUGAUCCUACAUUAUCUAGUUCAUGUUUUCCAUAUAUCCUCACUAUAAACUAAUUAAAUCAUGAACUCUUCAAAUUAGGGCCUAAGACAUCAUAUCAAAUUUCAAGCACAUCCUAGCUAUUUUCCCACUACAAACAUCUUGCCCAAGAUGUAUAAAUUGGUGGUAUAUAUUGUUUUGAAUUAUACGUCUAUUAUAGAACAUAUGAUAAAAUAUGUGACAGAAUACGUUGUAAAUAGUUGACUUACAAAUGAUGUGGCUGAAUGCAUGACAACUGAUGCGUUAGAUAAGUUGUCAUAAUAGAAGAUGUCAAUACACAAACAAUCAACACUGUGGUAGAAAGCAUCAACAUGGGUGGGGUGUGUGAAAUAGAGAUUUUUAAUAUUUGGGGGCUUUGAUAUCAUGUUAUGAACAAAUUUAUCAUAAAGAUGAAAAUAGUGUGUGUUAUGUGUAUAUGUGUAUAUGUAAAAUGUGUCAAUACAUGGACAAUUGGUGUUGUGAUAAAACAUAUCAAUAUGGUGGGAUGCGUGAAACAGAAAUUGUUGAUGUCCAAGGUGACUUUGAUAUGAUAUUACCAAAAGAUUUGUUAUAAAGGUGAAUAAAGUAUAGUCUAACUGUAUCAUUAUCUUUAACAGUUGAUAUUGAUUAAAAGAGAGUGAAGGAAAAAUAAAACUUUGGUGAGACCAUCCGGUCCAAAAUAUUGUGGAUUGAGAAAAUAUAGGCUAGAUUAGGCUAGUUAUUUUUUACAUGAGAAUUAGUUCUAAAACAGCAAAAAUCAUAAAGAGACAAACAGGAACAUGAUGAAACUUCUUACCAGCAUGACAGGGUGGCAUGCACAAUCAAAAGCAGGUUUGAUUACCAAAUAUCAUUUGUUUAUUUCGAUAAUUAAAUAUUGAGAUUAAGGGGCAGUUGGUAUAUAAAUAAUUAAAUAAGGCAAUAGUCCAUUUGAACUUUGUUUUAUUCAUUCCAAGAGGCAGGAUAUCGAAAUUUUCAUGCAAAGGUAUAUUAUAAAACAAUAUUCUUUAUCUUGAAAGUCAUAUUAGUACUGCAUUUUCUAGUUCAUGUUUUCCUUACACUGUAAAUUAAUCAGAAUCAUCAACUCUUCAAAUUAGGGCCUACAAUAUUACAUCAAAUUUAAACCUGACCUUGAUUUCGUCAAAUUCCCAGAUAUUUCCUCAUAGAAAACAUGUGGCCUAGGAGGUAUUCUAUUGGUAUACAAAUGAAGGGUCACUUUUAUGGUUAUUAAUUUCUAAAUUGAAACUUAUUGUCCAAGGAUUUGAUCCAUUAUAUUGACUUUGGCCUGGCAACAACCUUUGCAUCUUGAGCUCAUCAAAGAAAUGGCAGAAGUGAAGCUACAUGGAUCCUGGGCUAGUCCUUUUAGCCAUAGAGUGAUUUGGGCAUUGAAAAUCAAAGGUGUAAACUAUGAAUACAUAGAGGAAGACCUUUCUAACAAGAGCGAACUGCUGUUGAAAUACAAUCCUGUUUACAAGAAGAUCCCUGUCCUUGUCCACGGCGGCAAGCCGAUUGCUGAGUCCCUCGUCAUCCUUGAAUACAUCGAAGAAACCUGGCCGGAGAAUCCAUUUCUCCCAAGUGAUCCUUAUGAGAGAGCAAUGGCUCGAUUUUGGAUUCAAUUCGUAGAAGACAAGGUGAUUUUGACUCUUUCAUUAUCUCUAUUGAGGCAUUGACCUAUCAUUCUUUUCUUUUAUGUUCUUGUUAAGAAUUAUCAAACUUUACAAUGAUCCUAGGGUCCGAUUUUCCGUGCAUUUUUUCUAUCAACCGGUAGAGAGGAGCAAGAGAAAGCAGCAAAGGAACUGUUGGAAGUGCUGAAAAUUAUAGAAGAGAAAGCUCUUGGGGACAAGAAGUUUUUCGGUGGUGAUACCAUUAAUUUAGUGGACAUCUCCUACGGAGUGCUGGCCUAUUGGUUCAAGAACGUGGAAGAAGUAAUUGGCAUCAUGGUGCUGGAACCAAACACCUUGCCUCGACUGCAUGAAUGGGCUCAAAAUUUCAUGGAAGUUGCUGUCAUCAAAGAAACAAUCCCUGAUCGUGAUAAAAUGCUGGCUUAUUUGAGACGCGUGAGGGAGAAGAUUGUUGCUGAACAGUCUAACAAAUAGCAUAAAAAAGCUUAUCAGUUUAAUAUCUGAUACGUGGGCCAUUGGUCCACGUGAUAUUAAAUUAAUUUUUUUAGGGGGAGAGCCCAUAGGAAAAACAAAAAUAGCAUAAAAAAGCUUCAUACUAGCUAGCCUUCUGGAAAAUUGACUUUCCUAAACUUGGCAGCUUGGGAUGCUUAUCUAAAGCUAUAUAUAUAUCUAAUCUACUUAGUUAUGCUAUGUUGUAUUAAUUAAGCAUCAAAUAAUUGAAUUCUAUUGUAUAAAAGCAGAACUUUUUUUGGUUCUAUGGGAGGAUUAAGUUUACAAGUCCAUGAUGAUCAGGAAAGAAAUGGGUAUUUUUGGAAUUUAAGAAAGGGAGGCCAUGAAAGCUGGGAAUUUUAAGCUGGUUCUGUUUCGUUAGAACAAAGAGAGAGAGAGAGAGAGAGAGAGAGAGAGAGAGAGAGAGAGAGAAGAAAUUUCAGAAAAAUAAGGAGGACCAAAUUAAAGAAUGUUUUUUUCUUUCUUCUAAAUAAUUGUGAUGGUUUUACUUAUGCCAUGUUAGGGCACCGGUUAAGAAAAUGACAAAUGUCAUAAUGGUUAAUACUAGUUAGUUUUUUAAUUUUUUAUUAAGUGUUUUGUAACUUAUUUGAUUUUAAAUAAAAAUAUAAGACUUUGAUUGUAUUUUUUUUUUCAAUGGAGAAGUUGUAAUAUUAAAUUGAAAUCAUCAUAAGAAAACAUAUUUCCAUCAUAUCAUAUAAUAAUAAAUUUUUAACUCCCACCAAAGGAGUAUAAUGAGCAACAAAAGAAACAUCAAAUAAUUAAAUGAAAAAUUAAAAACAUAUUUGAUUUUUGACAUAAUAUUCAAAUAACCUCGUAAAUUAUUUUAAAAAAUUAAAUAAGCUUUUAUUUUUUUAUUUUAUUCAAUUAAAAUUUUGUAUUUUUAUUUUUUGUCAAAUAAGUCUUUAUAACAAAUGAUUAACUAAUUAUCAUUAGUUAAAAUACCUAUUAUCAUUCUAUAACCACAUAGUAUUAACAUGGCAUUGAUACAAAUAGUAAAAAAUAUCAUAUGAACAUGUUAUUAUAUCAAAUUAAUAUGUCACGUUAUUAUCAAUUAUAAUAUAUUAGUAUGUCAUACCAUUAUCAAUUAUGAUAUGUUAGCAUGAUACAUCAGCACCAUCCAAUAUAAAAUAAUAAGUGACAUUUUGACUAAGUUAAUUAUUAGUCAUAAAAGUUUAUUUAACUCAAAAUAAAAAUAUAAUGACUUAUUAGGCUUAGAAUAAAAGUAUAAAAACUUAAUUGAAUGUAAUAAAAAAAUAAAAACUUAUUUGAAGUUUACUGAAUAGUUUAAGGACUUUUUUAAAUAUCAUACCUUAGAUUAUUUUUCUUAAUAAUUUAAAAACUUUUUCAAAUAUUAUGAUCUUUGUCUUGAAAGUGAAAUUGACCCUACAUUAUCUAGUUCAUGUUUUCCAUAUAUCCUCACUGUAAACUAAUUAAAUCAUGAACUCUUCAAAUUAGGGCCUAAGAUAUCAUUUCAAAUUUCAAGCACAUCCUAGCUAUUUCCCCACUAAAAACAUCUUGCCCAAGAUGUACAGAUUGGUGGUAUACAUUGUUUUGAAUUACAUGUUUAUUAUAGAACAUAUGAUAAGGUAUGUGACAUAAUACGUUAUAAAUAAUUGACUUACAAAUGAUGUGACUGAAUACAUGAUAACUAAUGGGUUAGAUAAGUUGUCAUGAUAGAAGAUGUCAAUACACGAACAAUCAACACCGUGGUAGAAAUCAUCAAUAUGGGUGGGAUAUGUGAAAUAGAGAUUUUUAAUGUUUGGGGGCUUUGAUAUCAUGUUAUGAACAAAUUUAUCAUAAAGAUGAAAAAAGUGUGUAUUACGUGUAUAUGUAUAUAUGUAAAAUGUGUUAAUACAUGGACAACUGGUGUUUUGACAAAAGAUAUUAAUAUGGUGGGAUGUGUGAAACAAAAAUUGUUGAUGUCCAAGGUGACUUUGACAUGAUGUUACCAAAAGAUUUAUUAUAAAGGUGAAUAAAGUAUAGUCUAACUGUAUCAUUAUCUUUAAUAGUUGAUAUUGAUUAAAAGAGGGCAAAGGAAACAAAUAAAAUAAAAAUUUGGUGAGACCAUCUGGUUCAAAAUAUUGUGGAUUGAGCAAAUAUGAGUUAGAUUGGAUUGGUCUAUUUUUUACAUAGACCAUCAAAAUUUCAAUCCAGCCCAACCCAACCCUCGUUAAUCCAUGAGUCAAGUUAGGCCAGCCCACUAAUUUUUUUCAAAAAAUAUUCAUUUUCAUAAUUUUACUUAACAAACUCCUUAUCAAUAAAAUUAUUUUAUGAUUUAAUCUAUAAAUUGAAUAAUAAAAAUAUAUUACAAACAAAUAAAUUAUAUGAAACAUAAAUUAGCAAAUAAAUUAUAUCAAAGGUAAAUAAAGUUUCAAUUUUUAACAUAAACUACAAUCUCAUAAACAUAAGUAAAACAUUUAAAUCUUAUUUGAAUGGUAAUAAUGUCUCAAAGUUUGAAUCAUUAUCAUUUAAUAUUUAUUACCAUAAAAGAAAAAGAGAUAAUCAGUUUCAAUCUUAACUAAAACUAUUAAUUUGACAAGUAAAAGUUGAAGACAUUGAAAUAUAUAAAAUAAAUAGUAAUAUUAGUAACUAAAUUAUUAAUUUUAUAUAACUAAAUAUAUAAAAUUAUUAAAUUAACUAAAAUUAUUAAUUUAAUUUUUUUCUUCUAUCUUGGAGGGUUAGCCCACAUCAACAUGAGAUAACUCACUGAUCAGAUAAGUAGCCCAUUUAAGCUCGAUUUUAAUAUGGAUAUGAAUUUUCAAAUCCUAGCUCACUUAAUUUUUAAUAAAAAAUGAACCAACUCAAUAGAUCAGGUCCAUUUUAACAGGUUUCCAUAGGUAAAUCGGAUAGAAGAGUCUUAACACUUGAAUCAAAAUAUUCUUGAACAAGAAAAGAUUCACUUUCAUGGGUAUUAAUUUCUAAAUUGAACCUUAUUGUCCAAGCAUUUGAUUGAUGCAUAUAGAGACUUUGGCCUGGCAACAGACUUUGCUCCUUGAGGCUGGAGCUCAUCAAAGCAAUGGCAGAAGUGAAGCUACACAGAUUCUGGGCAAGUCUUUAUAGUCAUGGAGUGAUUUGGGCAUUGAAAAUCAAAGGUGUAGACUAUGAAUACAUAGAGGAAGACCUUUCUAACAAGACUGAACUACUGUUGAAGUACAAUCCUGUUUACAAGAAGAUCCCUGUCCUUGUCCAUGGCGGCAAGCCAAUUGCUGAGUCCCUCACCAUCCUUGAAUACAUCCAGGAAACCUGGCCGGAGAAUCCAUUGCUCCCAAGUGAUCCUUACGAGAGAGCCAUGGCUCGAUUUUGGAU
rnacentral:lncRNA from 1 species